UUAGCCUCAACGUAAACGAGAGAGAGAGAGGCGCAGAGCAGCGAACCAGAGGUCCAGAGCGUUGGUCAGGCUUCGCAUCUAUCGUUCCUUGAUCCGAUUCUUCGGGAGAUUGAAUUGAAGAGCGCAGGGCGAUGAACCGAGAGAAACCAGCGGCGAUGGGCGAGAGAAGGGGAUCGCGCACCAAAUUUCCGGACGGCAACCCUUGGCUCAAGAGCUUUCUACGGCUGUCCUCAAUCUGAAUCACGGAGUUGCGGUCAGCAGCUUCAAUUCCAUUCCCAGCCCUCGGUGCAAUUAAUGGCGAAUUCAGGUCUGCGGCAGAUUUAGUUCCAGGUAGCUCCAAUUGUUUUUCCUGAUUUUCGUCGGUGAGUGAUUAGUGCAACGGCGGCAGCGAGCAAUUCCUUGUGGGUUCUCUACGGCUUCAAUCUCAUACCAACUUUGGUUUUUCCUCUUUUUAAAACUAAUUCUUUAAAUUGGUUUUUAAUUGUACGUGUUGCUACAUUGAGCCUAGAUUACACUGUAUCAAUUUCUAAGCUUGGUUACAUUGCUAUCAAUAAUUGAUUAUAAAUUGCUUUACUACAGUAACACUUUAAUUCUGCAGCAGUAGUGUUUUCCUUGUUCUAUUGAAAUACAUUUGCUAUUCA